GAUGAACGCUGGCGGCGUGCUUAACACAUGCAAGUCGAACGAUGAAGCCCAGCCUGCUGGGCGGAUUAGUGGCGAACGGGUGAGUAACACGUGAGUAACCUGCCCUUGACUCUGGGAUAAGCCCGGGAAACUGGGUCUAAUACCGGAUAGGAGCGCCUGUCGCAUGACGGGUGCUGGAAAGAUUUUUCGGUCAUGGAUGGACUCGCGGCCUAUCAGCUUGUUGGUGAGGUAACGGCUCACCAAGGCGACGACGGGUAGCCGGCCUGAGAGGGUGACCGGCCACACUGGGACUGAGACACGGCCCAGACUCCUACGGGAGGCAGCAGUGGGGAAUAUUGCACAAUGGGCGGAAGCCUGAUGCAGCGACGCCGCGUGAGGGAUGACGGCCUUCGGGUUGUAAACCUCUUUCAGUAGGGAAGAAGCGAAAGUGACGUACCUGCAGAG
rnacentral:rRNA from 1 species